rnacentral:rRNA from 1 species
UGCUAACAGGCGUCGAGUGGCGGACGGGUGAGUAACGCGUGGGAACGUACCCUUUGGUACGGAAUAGCCUCGGGAAACUGGGAGUAAUACCGUAUGUGCCCUUCGGGGGAAAGAUUUAUCGGAGAAAGAUCGGCCCGCGUUAGAUUAGAUAGUUGGUGGGGUAAUGGCCUACCAAGUCUACGAUCUAUAGCUGGUUUGAGAGGAUGAUCAGCCACACUGGGACUGAGAUACGGCCCAGACUCC